CCUUGAGGAGCAUGAGGGAGAAACUCAUGAAGCAGGGUCCUGGGGAGAGAGAAUCACUGAUGCAAGUAUGCAACCAAGAAACCAUGUCCAGUAUGUGGAUAGUGACAUGUGACUGUCAGGUGCCUAGAAGUGGUCAGACAAGUCUAAGUAGGCCCAAAUUCAAGCUGGGAAAUCAAUGUUGGUCUCAAUAAGAUAAAUUCUUCCUUUUAUGUGAAACAUGAAUUAUAAAAUAAGACCAAAACUGUCCUUCAUUAUCUAUUCAUGGAAACUAAGACAUGUUCUGGAGCCAUUCAAGCCGCAGAAAGGAAUGAAGAGGCAGAUUUGAUAUUUGGACAUACAUGAACAAGAUGAACAGUUGAUCUGUGUUUAU